rnacentral:rRNA from 1 species
UAUGUAGGGUGCAAGCGUUGUCCGGAAUUAUUGGGCGUAAAGAGUUCGUAGGCGGUUUGUCGCGUCCGUUGUGAAAUCUCUGGGCUCAACCCAGAACGGUCAAGUGAUACUGUCGUGCUAGAGUGCGGAAGGGGCAACUGGAAUUCUUGGUGUAGCGGUGAAAUGCGCAGAUAUCAGGAGGAACACCGAUGGCGAAGGCAGGUCUCUGGGCCACUACUGACGCUGAGAAGCGAAAGCGUGGGGAGCGAACAGG